UGGUGGAGUGAUUUGUCUGGUUAAUUCCGAUAACGAACGAGACUCUGUCCUGCUAACUAGGUUGUGUUUUCUCGGGUUGGUGUUUCUGGUGUUCCUUCUCGGGGCGCCGGCCCAAUCCACUUAUGAACACAACACUCUUCUUAGAGGGACUGGCGGCUGUUAGCCGCACGAGAUAGAGCAAUAACA
rnacentral:rRNA from 1 species